CGCGGCCUAUCAGCUUGUUGGUGGGGUAACGGCUCACCAAGGCAUCGACGGGUAGCUGGUCUGAGAGGACGGUCAGCCACACUGGGACUGAGACACGGCCCAGACUCCUACGGGAGGCAGCAGUGGGGAAUCUUGCGCAAUGGGCGAAAGCCUGACGCAGCCACGCCGCGUGAGGGAUGAAGGCUUUCGGGUUGUAAACCUCUUUCAGCAGGGACGAAAAUGACGGUACCUGCAGAAGAAGCUCCGGCCAACUACGUGCCAGCAGCCGCGGUAACACGUAGGGAGCAAGCGUUGUCCGGAUUUAUUGGGCGUAAAGAGCUCGUAGGCGGUUCAGUAAGUCAGGUGUGAAAGUCCAAGGCUCAACCUUGGAACGCCACUUGAUACUGCUGUGACUGGAGUCCGGUAGAGGAGUGUGGAAUUCCUGGUGUAGCGGUGAAAUGCGCAGAUAUCAGGAGGAACACCGACGGCGAAGGCAGCACUCUGGGCCGGUACUGACGCUGAGGAGCGAAAGCAUGGGGAGCGAACAGGAUUAGAUACCCUGGUAGUCCAUGCCGUAAACGUUGGGCACUAGGUGUGGGGCCUUAUCAACGGGUUCCGUGCCGUAGCUAACGCAUUAAGUGCCCCGCCUGGGGAGUACGG
rnacentral:rRNA from 1 species